rnacentral:tRNA from 1 species
CAAUUUAAAGCUUAGAAGAAAGCAUUUCAUUUACAUUGAAGAGAUUAUUGUGCAAUUCCUUAUAAAUUGA